UACGUAGGGAGCAAGCGUUGUCCGGAAUCAUUGGGCGUAAAGCGCGCGUAGGUGGCCUCAUAAGUCCGCUGUGAAAGUCAAAGGCUCAACCUUUGAAAGCCGGUGGAUACUGUGAGGCUAGAGUACGGAAGAGGCGAGUGGAAUUCCUGGUGUAGCGGUGGAAUGCGCAGAUAUCAGGAGGAACACCCAUAGCGAAGGCAGCUUGCUGGGACGUUACUGACGCUAAGGCGCGAAAGCGUGGGGAGCGAACAGG
rnacentral:rRNA from 1 species